GACGAACGCUGGCGGCGUGCUUAACACAUGCAAGUCGAACGGAAAGGCCCUGCUUUUGUGGGGUGCUCGAGUGGCGAACGGGUGAGUAACACGUGAGUAACCUGCCCUUGACUUUGGGAUAACUUCAGGAAACUGGGGCUAAUACCGGAUAGGAGCUCCUGCUGCAUGGUGGGGGUUGGAAAGUUUCGGCGGUUGGGGAUGGACUCGCGGCUUAUCAGCUUGUUGGUGGGGUAGUGGCUUACCAAGGCUUUGACGGGUAGCCGGCCUGAGAGGGUGACCGGCCAAAGGGGGCUUGGGGAGGGGCCAGGGUGCAACAGGGGAGAAGGGGGGGGAAAAUUGGCAAAAUGGGCGGAGGGCGGGAGGAAGAACGCCGGGGGGGGGAGGACGGCAUGUGGGUGGGAAACGCAUUUCGCUUGUAACGAGGGGUGGGGAAGGGAAAUGGAGAAAAAGCACCGGCUAACUUCGGG
rnacentral:rRNA from 1 species